AGAGUUUGAUCCUGGCUCAGAGUGAACGCUGGCGGCAGGCCUAACACAUGCAAGUCGAACGGCAGCACAGCAGUAGCAAUACUGUGGGUGGCGAGUGGCGGACGGGUGAGGAAUACAUCGGAAUCUACCUUGUCGUGGGGGAUAACGUAGGGAAACUUACGCUAAUACCGCAUACGACCUACGGGUGAAAGCGGAGGACCGCAAGGCUUCGCGCGAUAAGAUGAGCCGAUGUCGGAUUAGCUAGUUGGCGGGGUAAUGGCCCACCAAGGCGACGAUCCGUAGCUGGUCUGAGAGGAUGAUCAGCCACACUGUAACUGAGACACGGUCCAGACUCCUACGGGAGGCAGCAGUGGGGAAUAUUGGACAAUGGGCGCAAGCCUGAUCCAGCCAUGCCGCGUGCAGGAAGAAGGCCUUCGGGUUGUAAACUGCUUUUGUACGGAACGAAACGGUCCUGGUUAAUACCUGGGGCUAAUGACGGUACCGUAAGAAUAAGCACCGGCUAACUACGUGCCAGCAGCCGCGGUAAUACGUAGGGCGCAAGCGUUAAUCGGAAUUACUGGGCGUAAAGCGUGCGCAGGCGGUUUUGUAAGACAGGCGUGAAAUCCCCGGGCUUAACCUGGGAAUGGCGCUUGUGACUGCAAAGCUGGAGUGCGGCAGAGGGGGAUGGAAUUCCGCGUGUAGCAGUGAAAUGCGUAGAUAUGCGGAGGAACACCGAUGGCGAAGGCAAUCCCCUGGGCCUGCACUGACGCUCAUGCACGAAAGCGUGGGGAGCAAACAGGAUUAGAUACCCUGGUAGUCC
rnacentral:rRNA from 1 species